rnacentral:rRNA from 1 species
UAAGGAAUAUUGGUCAAUGGACGCAAGUCUGAACCAGCCAUGCCGCGUGAAGGAUUAAGGUCCUCUGGAUUGUAAACUUCUUUUAUCUGGGACGAAAAAAGGCGAUUCUUCGUCACUUGACGGUACCAGAUGAAUAAGCACCGGCUAACUCCGUGCCAGCAGCCGCGGUAAUACGGAGGGUGCAAGCGUUAUCCGGAUUCACUGGGUUUAAAGGGUGCGUAGGCGGGCAGGUAAGUCAGUGGUGAAAUCCUAGAGCUUAACUCUAGAACUGCCAUUGAUACUAUCUGUCUUGAAUAUUGUGGAGGUAAGCGGAAUAUGUCAUGUAGCGGUGAAAUGCUUAGAUAUGACAUAGAACACCUAUUGCGAAGGCAGCUUACUACGCAUAUAUUGACGCUGAGGCACGAAAGCGUGGGGAUCAAACAGGAUUAGAUACCCUGGUAGUCCACGCCCUAAACGAUGAUUACUCGACAUUUGUGAUACACUAUAAGUGUCUGAGCGAAGCAUUAAGUAAUCCACCUGGGAAGUACGACCGCAAGGUUGAAACUUAAAGGAAUUGAC